CUCAGCGUCCAUGCAAAAAUCUGCAAAGACAGGACGAGCAAACAAUAAGCGCAGAAUGAAAUGCACAGUCCACAAACACUCGGAAAAACAGAACUUACCACCGAGAAGAGCUAUCAUCUUCCGGGCCCAGUCACUGACGUAAUUUUCCUCUGCUAUGCACCGCCUGUUCAACACUUUCAUUUGUCCCAUCAGCUCGGUCCUUUGUUUCCCCAUUUUAUCCACUUCAGCAGUCAAUGCCUUGUUUGCCUCACGGGCCUCCUCCAAGGACUUUUCUCGUUCAGCCAGA
rnacentral:lncRNA from 1 species